rnacentral:rRNA from 1 species
UACGUAGGGUGCAAGCGUUGUCCGGAAUUAUUGGGCGUAAAGAGCUCGUAGGCGGCCUGUCGCGUCGGCUGUGAAAACCCGGAGCUCAACUCCGGGCCUGCAGUCGAUACGGGCAGACUGGAGUUCGGCAGGGGAGACUGGAAUUCCUGGUGUAGCGGUGAAAUGCGCAGAUAUCAGGAGGAACACCGGUGGCGAAGGCGGAUCUCUGGGCCGUAACUGACGCUGAGGAGCGAAAGCAUGGGGAGCGAACAGG